AAAGAAAAAUCGGUUAAGAAGAGAAAAUUGGGGGUGGGAUGGGAGUGGGGAGGCGGUAAUUCAGACCCACGAGGAGACUGGCAUCUAAACAAGCAGAAAUUCUGGCUCUGGUGCCAGCACUCUUUGAUGAGGAAUGUGAAGUAAAACAUCAGGUGUUCGAUGUAGCACCAUCCACGAAUGUGGGUGGGGGACAAGGGCCAGUUCCAGCCAGAUGUUGAUUUGCUUGUCCUUCCCACAACUGGCUCAUUUGCUAAGAACUAUAAAUUUCUUUCAAAAAAUUUUAAAAAUGUUUUUCAGUUACCGAUAACACCCAAUAUUAGUUUCAGGUACACAGCAUGGUGAACACGAUGAAAUUCCUACUUGGGGGAAGGAUGUGUGGUGAGAAGACAUUUACAGAAGAGAAAGGGGAUGGAGAGAUGGGAGGUUCUCUUGAGUUUCCUGCUUCAUGAGGGUCCUGUUUUUAAGGUCCUGACGAUAAGAUCCCAAAGAUCAAAUGCUGAACCUUGCUAUAGGGAAAAUGUGGCCAUAAGAAGCCCUCUCUCUAGCAAACCAAGACCUCAGACCAAUCAGUCCCUCAGACAUUUCCAAGGGAAGCAAGAACACAGCCAACAUAACUGGGCUGCGGGAGAGAGAGAGAGAGCUGUCAGGUCUCAGCUAUCAUCCCAGGCAGCAAAAGUGACUUGCUCCUCAUUCCUGCCCAUUCGUGCUGCAAAUGAUGCUGGAUCCCAGCCAUUUAGGAUGUGGGCGUCACACCAUUGGCCUUCGAGGUACUGAAGGAAAGCACCCAGCAAAAUACAUGGCAGACCAGCAGCUCUUCCUUCAGUUCCUUCUUCCAGACGGAAAUGUAUUUGUAUAACUGGGGGACUGAGUCAUUUCAUGAGUAUUUUCCUUUCUUUUGGAUUCUUUUUCUUUGGAUGCGUGUCUAACUGAAAUGGAGAGCCUCAAGCCAGCUCAGAUUUCGAAUGCUGACCUCUAGUCAGGAAAAGGUCUUUGUGAACUAUGAAAGGCCCUAGGCUCAGCAGAGGAGUGUGACUGAGAAUGCUCUAAUAUGGCAGAACCUCCUUGUUGGGGAUCCCUGAUGUUUCAAGUGUACCUGGUUUCAAAACAGUUGAUACUGCCAAUAAAAAAAGAAACUAAGUGGGGUUCUGCCUCCUGUACCACUUACGCUGACAGUAGAGGAACCUAGUCAAGCAAAAUUGAGCUUUGUCAGCAGAUUAUUAUUCUAACUUAAUCAAUUGCUACAUUCCUAAGCUUCAUCCAUGUUCUAUUUAGCCUUUGGUACACCCAUGCUGUGUCAUGUUCAUCUUGGGGAACUAGCUCAGUUUAUCCAUUCCAAUGCUGAUGGGCUUUUGGGGUAGUUUUUCAGUUCUGCUACUCUGAACUGUGCUACUAGAAACAUUUGAAUGUGUCUCCUGUUCAUAUAUGCAAGAGUUCCUCUAUAGCUUGUACCUAGGAGUGGAAUUGCUGGGUCACAGAGUAUAUGCACAAUCAACUGCGAGAUAAUGCCAAAUUGUUUUCCAAAAACGGUUAUACCAAUAUACACUCCCACCAGCAAUGUAUGUAUGUUCUUGUUGAUCCAUCUUUUCCUCCCCAACACUUGUGUUCAGACUUAAUUUUUGCCAGUCUCAUAGUGGGUUUGAUUUACAUUUCCCUGAUUGCUAAUGAAGUUGAACAUCUUUUCAUAUAUUUAUUGGCCAUGUGGCUUUUCUCCAAGGUGAAAGUGCUUCUUUCUGUCUCUUGUCCAUUUUUCUACUGAGUUGUUUUAAUGUAGGGUUUCCCCAAAGUUUACACGUCCAAUUAAGUUAGCAAAUGCAGACAUUCUCUCAUGGAGAAUCACCAGGCAUACCUACAUAUUCAAGGCUCUGAGAAGUCCUGUAGUAAGGAAACUUGUUCAACUUUGUUCAGCUUAACACUUCCCAAAGGUACUUGUCCACAGAACCCUUUUGUGCCUAACAUCUGUUAAAUGUUGGAAAAGAUAAUUUGGGAAAGGCUACUUUAAGUAAAACAUAUGGUGUAACACAAAGACCAUAGGCUUAGGGGCGAGCCAGAGGCAGAACUUGAACUCAGGUCUAUCACAUGUUCUGUGACCCUGGGUAAGUCACUCUACUCUCCUGGGAUCUCCGCUGUCUCAUCAGUGGAGUAAUUCCCACUUCAUAGUGUUGUUGUGACAAUGUAAUGAGAUACAAUAUGUAAAGAGCCUAGCACCGCCGGGUUUUCAGUAAAUGUGAAUUCUGUUCUUCUCCUCCCUCUUUGGUGUCUGCUUUUUGGGCACUCUCCUGCUCAACAAAUAAGGUGGAACAGAGAAAACAGAAUCCUAAGCAGAGCCUGAUCAACAGUUAAGGUAGGAGAUUUGAGGUCCUGCCUUACAAUCUAGACAGAGAUCAAUGUCAUCUCUGUGGUCUACCAUCUCUUAUUCAUAGACUAAGUGUGGAAAAUGUAAUACCACCGGCCACUAAAAGAUCAGGAAAUUAAGGCUCAGAGAGGCUCAACACCCAGAGUCACACAGCCAAGUGGUAAAGGACUGAUGAGGUCUGUUCCAAUGCCUGUGCCCCAGAAACCUGUCAAGAGAUGCCGAGGAGACCUGUCAAGACUGUGUGUGCAAAGGUAUAAUGAUGACUGAGAAGGCACCAACUGAUUGGACAAUGCUGAUGACCAGGUGACAAAUGGUAUAGCAAGGAGGAUUCGUUUACUCAUUCCUCCCCCCCACCUCCUAUUUUUGACCCUGGUUUUCUAAACUUCCUCCAUGUCGGAGGUUACAACUAUAAAUACGGCAUUUGAGCCACAAAA